CCUUAAAGUUUGAUCCUGGCUCAGGACGAACGCUGGCGGCGUGCUUAAUACAUGCUAGUCAAACCAAAAUCUUAUGAAUGAGUUUUCGGAAAUCGGAUUCUGAGGACCGAGGUGGAACGGUGAUUAACACUUGAGGAACCUGCCUUUCUCAUGGGGACAACUGUUGGAAACCACUGCUAAUACCGCAUAACCCAUCUGAUUCACGUGGUUCUGAUGUCAAAGGAUCAUUGCUGAUAGAUAUCCUCUCGUCUGAUUAGAUAGUUGGUGAGAUAUCGGCCCACCACGACGACGAUCUGUAUCCGGAGUGAGAGAUUGUCCGCCCACACUGGGAGUGUGAUACGGCCCAGACUCUUACGGGAGACAGCACUGGGGAAUAUUGGGCAAUAGGGGCAAGCCCGACCCAGCAACACCGCGUGAAGGAAGAAGACUUUUUGGUUGUAAACUUUUUUUGUCAGGGAGGAGCUAAAGACGGUACCUAACAAAUAAGCCACGGCUAACUACGUGCCAGCAGCCGCGGUAAUACGUAGGUCACAAGCGUUGUCCGGAUUUACUGGGUGUAAAGGGAGUGCAGCCGGGAAGACAAGUCAGAUGUGAAAUCCACGGGCUCAACUCGUGAACUGCAUUUAAAACUAUUUUUCUUGAGUAUCGGAGAGGCAAUCGGAAUUCCUAGUGUAGCGGUGAAAUGCGUAGAUAUUAGGAGGAACACCAGUGGCGAAGGCGGCUUGCUGGACGACAACUGACGGUGAGGCGCGAAAGCGUGGGGAGCAAACAGGAUUAGAUACCCUGGUAGUCCACGCUGUAAACGAUGAAUACUAGGUGUGCGGGGACUGACCCCUUGCGUGCCGCAGCUAACGCAAUAAGUAUUCCACCUGGGGAGUACGAUCGCAAGGUUGAAACUCAAAGGAAUUGACGGGGGCCCGCACAAGCAGUGGAGUAUGUGGUUUAAUUUGAAGCAACGCGAAGAACCUUACCAGGGCUUGACAUAUUCAUUGAUAUUUAAGAGAUUAAAUAGCUCUUUGGUAGACUGUAUACAGGAUGGUGCAUGGUUGUCGUCAGCUCGUGUCGUGAGAUGUUGGGUUAAGUCCCAGACAACGAGCGCAACCCUUGUGAUUAGUUACUA
rnacentral:rRNA from 1 species